GCAUCUGUAGUGUAGGGGUUAUCAUCCCAGCCUUCCAUUUCCAUGAGAAUGAUAGCUGGGGACUCGAGUUCGAGUCUCGACAGAUGCA
rnacentral:tRNA from 1 species